AGAGGAAGCCGGUGCGAAUCCGGCGCGGUCCCGCCACUGUCACCGGGGAGCGGUCCCCCACACCGGGAAGUCACGGCACGCGCGAGCGGGCUGGAAGGCCGGGGGAAUCGCGGAUCCGGGAGCCAGGAGACUC
rnacentral:ncRNA from 2 species